UACGUAGGCAGCGAGCGUUGUUCGGAGUUGCUGGGCGUAAAGGGUGUGUAGGCGGUUGUUUAAGUUUGGUGUGAAAUCUCCCGGCUCAACUGGGAGGGUGCGCCGAAUACUGAAUGACUUCGAGUGCGGGAGAGGAAAGUGGAAUUCCUGGUGUAGCGGUGAAAUGCGUAGAUAUCAGGAGGAACACCGGUGGUGUAGACGGCUUUCUGGACCGUAACUGACGCUGAGACACGAAAGCGUGGGUAGCAAACAGG
rnacentral:rRNA from 1 species